GUCUGAAGAUGGGGGGACCAUCCUCCAAGGCUAAAUACUCGUGAUCGACCGAUAGUGAACCAGUACCGUGAGGGAAAGGCGAAAAGAACCCCGGGAGGGGAGUGAAAUAGAUCCUGAAACCGCAUGCAUACAAACAGUCGGAGCCCCGCUUUAAGCGCUUUCGGCGCAUUCAUGAAAUGAAUGCGUCAAAAGAACGCAAUGCUGAAAUAGCAAGACUUGCGCUUAAAGAGGGAUUUAAGCGCGAGAGCGCUUAAAGCGGGGUGACGGCGUACCUUUUGUAUAAUGGGUCAGCGACUUACGUUCAGUAGCAAGCUUAACUGAUUAAGGCAGGCGUAGCGAAAGUGAGUCCGAAUAGGGCGUUCAGUUGCUGGGCGUAGACCCGAAACC
rfam:Oceanospirillum linum strain ATCC 11336 NODE_244_length_387_cov_0.946154, whole genome shotgun sequence.